AACCUCUUGACAGGCUGGCAGCCAUAAACCCAUAACCUUAAGUCCCAAACUAACCCUUGUCCGCCGCCUCGCUCUUUUUUUUCUCAUUUCAUAUAGUAUCUCUUUCUUCUUUCUCUCUCUUCUCCCUCCUUUAAUCCUCCGUAUUCUAAGAAUUUCAUCCAUUAGUUCUUUCUCAUCUUAUACUUCUUUAAUUAUUUCCUUCCUUUCUCUUUAAAUUUCAAGAAGUUAUUUCCAAGGUGAGUUUUGUAUUCUUUUUUGUUAUUUAGUAUUGAUCUCAAAUUUUUUUCGUAAAAUUUUCUGGGUGUUCUUUGUUUGAGCCUUAAUUCAAGCUAACGCUGAAAUCAAAGGAAGAAAGAACGUGAAAGAGCUCAAGCUCGCAAUUCUAGCAAAACGAAGACGUCUAAAACCAAUGGUUUAACACCUGAGCAGUGUCGAGAAAGGGAUGCAAAAGCGUUGCAAGAGAAAUUAGCGAAAAAGAAGGCACAAUCUGAAAGCGAAAGCAAGAAGGAAGUAAUGAUUUCUCAAGUUUGGACUGAAGAAAUUUGUAACUGAAGAACUUUGAAGUUUAAUGUCUUAUCAAUUAUAGGAUUUUUAUUUUUAUUUUAAUGUAUUGAAUUUUUUAUUGUAUCUGUAUUGUGUACGUAAAUUUUCAGCUGAUGAAAUACAAGAAUUAUUUUUAUAUUC